CACAACAUUCAAGCAAAUGAAAAUAAUCAUGAAAUUAUCUUGCCAAGAAUGAAAUCUUAGAGGAGGGGACUUCCAAGGUUUUCUUUCUUUCCCAAUUUUAGUUGUUUUUUUUUUUAAAGGUGUAAGAUCUGGGACUACAUUCUAUUUUCUGUAAAUUGUGCAGAGCAAGUGUGUGGUGACCGUUUUUUCCCCCUCGGAUUUUAAUCUACUGGAUAUGCCCAUAGAGUUUGCAGGAAUAACGGCUGGUUCUGGAAGCUGUUGGAGAUGUGAGAUAAAGAAAGAGAAUAAAUAUAAAACAUCAAUACUACUAUUUUGAAACACUGAUUUACUUUUCGGAAAGAGAAGAAAGGGCAAAGGGAUGGGAACUAAUAUAGAUAUACCAAAUUAUGUGCAACACACACCAUCCUUACAGAGUGCUGCAACCAAAAGCCAGAGAGUGUCUUGCCUUUCACAAUGCCAAAUCAAAAAGGUGAAUGCAUAGCCCACUCAGAGAAAUAAAGCUUAUGAAGACAGUCUUCGCUACAGGAGCCUGCUCAUCAUCCAAUAUCGUCCUCUUGGCUGUGCACCUUUUGAUGUAACACUGAAAUGAGAAUCAACCAACCUAAAUAUCUGUAACAAUAUCUGGGAAGAUGUAUAAUUCAGAAUUGCAUGAAGACAACAAAAGAUUAGUUGACACUUAGGACUGGCAAUUUUGUGUGUGCUCCUGUAACCCCAGCCACAUGUAACUCCAUGCCUGGAGAGUGUUCUGGAAUCUGGGCAUAUCUUCUCUACAGUAUUCGACUUGUCUCUUGAAUGCCAUACAUGGCAAUUUUGUAUGCUGAAUUGUGUCCCCUCUCUCCAAAUUCAUAAGUUGACGUCGGAACCCUCAUUACUUCAGAAUAUAACUGCAUUUUGGAGAUAAGGUUUAUAAAGAGGUAAUUAAGUUAAAAUGAGGUCCUAACCCAAUCUGACUAGCAUCCUUCAGAGAAGAGGAAGAAAUGCCAGGGCUGUGAGUGCACAAAGGGUCAACUAUGUGAAGAGGCAUCAAGAGGGCAGCCAUCUGCAAAGUCAGAGAGAUAAACCUUAGGAGAAACCAACUUGCCAGUGCCUUGAUUUUGGACUCGCUUCUUCAGAAAUGUGAGAAAAUAAAUUUUGUUGAUUAAGCCACCUAGUCUGUAGUACUUUGUUAUGGCAACCGUAGCAAACUAUUCCAACAGCAAAGAACGUUAGUCCUGGGUAUUUCAAGUGCACCAAAUGGCUAACUCUGCAAUCAAGAUAAAGCGUCACAAGGAGUCUGGAGUUCUCACCUCCCUCAUCCAAAAACCCUCAACCUUGGUUCCCAGUCACCCUCCACCAACACCCUCCUUCUUAUUUUGUUUGGCUUUGCCUCAUGUCUUGUCAGUCAUCCUCUAUACCAUGGAUUUUGGUAAUGAUAGGGGCCCAGUAGCUUUAGAUUCUGAGCAUUGAAAAGAAAUAUGUUCUACAUGGGCUGGUCUUCAGGCACACUGUCUAAAGGGUAAUCAAACAUUUCCCAUGAAAUGUAACCACCCUCUUGCCAUCAGAUCUUGUAUGUAUUGUUGUACAGAAUAUGUUUUAUCAGUUCUUCAAUGUGAUUUGCCAUAAAACAACCCCUUCUUUUUAUUUGAACUUUGAUAUACAACAUACUCCAAGAGGAGGUUAAGUUUCUUGAACUGGUUGUGAGGAGGGUUAGGAAAUUUAUCCUACCAUACUCACAGUACUAUAGAGGCAAAUGUGGCAUAAAAUUAUAUCCUUGCAACUGCUUCUACCAGGUUUAUGAAAUUACUCUACAGUUUCCAGUUUCUUCUUACUAAGGUGCUAGUGAUAACCAGUAAUGAAGGUAAGCCUCUGCUUAGUCCUGCCUAAAUUCUUUCUCAUCUGAUUUCUGUUUUCCUAUGUUGUUCUUUUCCCUUUGAGGAAUGAAAAUUUCUGUGCCUGGAUUCUUACUUCUUAAUCUCUGUUUAUACAGUUCUCCAAAAUGUAUGCAAUAACAUUUAGCAAUAAAUGUCUAUAAGCUCUUUUCAUCUUGCAAAAACUUGACUGCCUACAAAUUUAUCACCCUGGAAAUGACAUCUGCCUGUUCUAUCAAGUUGGAAAUGCUGUUCACCAACCUAAGCACUUGUGCCUUUUUCUCCAACCUGCUGGGAAGUUGGAGGAGCAUGGAUCUCUUGUGGGAAGAGCCAUUCCCAAAUGGUGCCUGAGCUAAAAGCAGAUCUCAUGGUGGCAGGGGUGAUAUCUAAAAUAUUUAAUAAC
rnacentral:lncRNA from 1 species